rnacentral:rRNA from 1 species
AAAUCCUUUAUUCUCGCAGUAAAGGAUGAAUUUAUUAGAUUAGAACCAGCGCAAAGUCCUAGACUUUGAGUUAUGGUGAUUCAUAAUAACUAAUCGAAUCGCAGAGACUUUUAGUCGGCGAUGAUACAUACAAAUUUCUGCCCUAUCAACUUUCGAUGGUAGUAUAGAGGACUACCAUGGUUAUAACGGGUAACGGGGAAUUAGGGUUCGAUUCCGGAGAGGGGGCCUGAGAGAUGGCCACCACUUCCAAGGAAGGCAGCAGGCGCGCAAAUUACCCAAUCCCAAUUCGGGGAGGUAGUGACAAGAAAUACCAGUACAGGGCCCUAUGGGUACUGUGAUUGGAAUGAAUACAAUUUAAAAACCUUAAUGAGGAACGAUUGGAGGGCAAGUCUGGUGCCAGCAGCCGCGGUAAUUCCAGCUCCAAUAGUGUAUAUUAAAGUUGCUGCAGUUAAAAAGCUCGUAGUUGGAUUUCGGUAAGUAAAAAUUUAACAUCCAUCUCUAAGAUGGAUGAUUUAAUUUUUAUUUCCUUCCUUUUGAAUACACUCCCUAAAAUUUAUUUUAGGGACUCAGUGUUUCAAAUCGUUUACUGUGAAGAAAUUAGAGUGUUCAAAGCAGGCGUAACCUAGCCUUUGAAUAUAUUAGCAUGGGAUAAUGAAAUAGGACUUUAGUCCUACUUUCGUUGGUUUCUAGGGCUGAAGUAAUGAUUAAUAGGGAUAGUUGGGGUCACUAGUAUUUAAUUGUCAGAGGUGAAAUUCUAAGAUUUAUUAAAGACUAACUACUGCGAAAGCAUUUGACAAGGAUGUUUUCAUUAAUCAAGAACGAAAGUUGGGGGAUCGAAGAUGAUCAGAUACCGUCGUAGUCUCAACCAUAAACUAUGCCGACCAAGGAUCCGGGGUUGUUAAUAUGGAUGACUCUCCGGGCACUUAUAGAGAAAUCAUAAGUAUUUGGGCUCCGGGGGGAGUAUGGUCGCAAGGCUGAAACUUAAAGGAAUUGACGGAAGGGCACCACAAGGAGUGGAACCUGCGGUUUAAUUUGACACAACACGGGGAAACUUACCAGGUCCAGACACAGUGAGGAUUGACAGAUUGAGAGUUCUUUCUUGAUUCUGUGAGUGGUGGUGCAUGGCCGUUUCUAGUUGGUGGAGUGAUUUGUCUGGUUAAUUCCGUUAACGAACGAGACCUUAACCUAUUAAAUAGUUGAUUGAACUUGAUUUCUAAAAUCAAAUGUUCAACUAACUUCUUAGAGGGACUCUUCACUGAGAGAGUGAAUGGAAGUUUGAGGC